rnacentral:rRNA from 1 species
GACGGGGGGGGCAAGUGUUCUUCGGAAUGACUGGGCGUAAAGGGCACGUAGGCGGGGAAUCGGGUUGAAAGUGAAAGUCGCCAAAAAGUGGCGGAAUGCUCUCGAAACCAAUUCACUUGAGUGAGACAGAGGAGAGUGGAAUUUCGUGUGUAGGGGUGAAAUCCGUAAAUAUACGAAGGAACGCCAAAAGCGAAGGCAGCUCUCUGGGUCCCUACCGACGCUGGGGUGCGAAAGCAUGGGGAGCGAACAGG